rnacentral:rRNA from 1 species
UACGUAGGGUGCAAGCGUUAAUCGGAAUUACUGGGCGUAAAGCGUGCGCAGGCGGUUAUGUAAGACAGAUGUGAAAUGCCCGGGCUUAACCUGGGAACUGCAUUUGUGACUGCAUGGCUAGAGUUUGGCAGAGGGGGGUAGAAUUCCACGUGUAGCAGUGAAAUGCGUAGAUAUGUGGAGGAACACCAGUGGCGAAGGCGACUACCUGGCCUGUUCUUGACGCUGAGGCGCGAAAGCUAGGGGAGCAAACGGG